GCGCGGGGCGGGGCGGAGCCGGGGAUGGGCGAGGGCGCUCUCGCGGGGUCCGCCUCCUGGUGGUCACCCGGACCAGCGAGCCCCGCCCGGGGGCGUCCUUCGUGUCCUCUAGGCCGGUUUCGGUUUUCAGACUCGCUGCCUCCGCUUCGCGCUACGUGGGUGUCGCCCACACCCGGGGGGCAGCCGCGUGCCGUGUGGCUGCUGCCCCUCCUUCGCAUAAAAACGCAGGCGUCGUUGGCCUUUAAAGUGGUUUCGAGCUAGAGUCGUCUCGCUCCCCUCGCCACCCUCCCUCCCCGAUACAGCGAGGUUAGGGAACACCGGCGCCUUUAAUCCCAUUCUUUCCUGGGGCUCGAGGACUACUAGGGAGGAGCUCUGGAAGGUUGAUCUGACACCAUUAACAAAGCCGAGGACAGAGUGAAUGAAAUUCAGACAAAGAAAGAAAGCCAUGGGAGCAAGAAGGUGAAAUCAACAAAACCUGGAAGAGAAGGGGGAGACCAGCAGACGCCGCCACGUGCUUUGCCGUAUGACCAAGGAGCCACGAUCACCAGCAGCCAGUCCCAGAACGAGGGUCUUCAGGAAGAAGACAUCCCCUUGAUGAUGGCUUGAUUUGGACACUUUGCUGGCCUGGAAACCAUGAGCAAAUAAAUUCCCAUUGUAAGGUGCACAAUGCUGCUUCCAGAGGGUCUAUCAAACCUCCCUGUUCUAUUCCUCCACUCUUCGGGGAUUUAUUGACUACCUCCAGACAACGAUCCCUGAGCGAGGCCCGGUGGAAGGAUUCAACAAGAUGUAAGAGCUGAUCCAUGCCUUCCAAGACGGUAACUCUAGCUGGGAAGAGAAGACUGCUGAAGAGUUAUGUAAUCCUCAACUUGGGAGUUGACAGCACCAGGAGGAAAGAGAUGGUGGCAGAGUAGGAUGCUUCGGGGCUCUGUCCCCUCGCAGAAGCUUUGAACAACCAGUAAGAAGCGGCAGAAACAUCUUUCCCAAAGCUCAGAGAACAGUUACAGAGCUGCAGUAACAGAGGACCAGGGGAGACCAACCCUUCAGUGUCUUUUGAAAUACGAAGAAAAGCGUGUUCAGGAACCUGACUCCAGCGCUGGGGUCUUGGGCCCAGGGCUAUUCUAGGAGCUGGACUAGAGCUAAACCCACUUGCACCUGAAAUACAACAACCUGGAAAUUGCCAUAGCCACUGCAACCUUCAGCAACCACCACCCUGAUCAGUCAGCAGCCAUCAACACUGAAAUAGGACCUUCCACCAGCAAAAAGAUUAUGACUCACUGAAGGCUCAGAUGAUGGUUAGCAAUUUUUAGCAAUAAAGUAUUUUAAAAUUAAAGUAUGUAUAUAGUUUUUUAGACACAAUACUAUUGCAUACUUAAUAGACUACAUAACUUUUAUAUGCACUGGGAAACCAGAAAUUUUGCUUUAUUGCGGCAGUCUGGAACUGAAUCCUCAAUAUCUCUGACUGUACUGCCCUGUUUUUAAUUUUCCUCCACAGUGAAUGCUAGACAUUUCUGGGGCCAAAAAGAUGAACAUUUCUCAGCCUCGUAAACACACCCCUCUGGAUUCAGCACAGGGAGCAUGAACAUCCCAACAGCUUCCUGUGAUCAGCUUGAAUGGUCCGGGCUGCAAGCUUGGAAAUUAAAUUGUAGAAGUAGUUUCUUCCAUCCUGGAAGCUGUUUCAAUGACAGUUUCUUGCAGGUGAACCUCAGAUAAACGGCAAACAACAAGCCCUGGUGCUUAUGUCUCAAGUCUGAACAACGGGAAUCUUACCAUGACACCUGGAGGUCAAGGAUGAAUGCCACAAGCCUGCACCAAACACCUGUCCACAUCUGGGUAGAGUCUGAGCAACCUCAGGGGAGCCAGGCCUAGGUCCCAUCCGUAAAGUCCAAGGGGGAGGCUCAUUAACAGGUCAUGUGGAUAUAAUAAGCUAGGAUGGCGGCAAGCCCUGGUGCUGUGAAAGCAUUAGCUCAGCUUGGGUUGGCUUGGUGACAGCUGAGCUCAGUCUCCAAGAUUAAGUAACAGUCACCCAUGUGAAGAGAGGUGGGAGGGGCAUUUCGGGCAGAGGGAGCUCAUGGGUCAUUGUGGGUGUCAGUGAAGUGUUAGUGUGUGUUUUAAAACAUUGCCUUUUAUCCAAGUGCUGCUGCAUAAAAGGUUGCAGCCAGUGACUUGACUUUUUCAGGCUACUUCAGGGAGUGCUACCCUUCAGUUUAGAGGCCUUCAAAGGGACACAUUCCUCCCUCAAUGUCCCCAUGCUGUGCAGUGAGCUCAGCACAUACAUCAUCAUACACUAAGGAAACCAGGGCUGCUUGCUCCUGAAGGUUCUUGACCAACAUUUCCUCCUUCCAGGGCUCCCUCCUCUCAGGAGCUCUGCUGAUGACAUUAGAGGCUUAUUUACUGCCUUCCACGGGCAAGGCUGCACGUAGGAAAAAGGCACCCGGCUACAAGGGACCCAGCCUGGGUUUUCAUUCACUGUCAUAAUGGAACUUGGAACUGAAAGUUUGUGCUGCCCCUCUCAGUUUUGAAAAUGAAAAUGAAGGGAAGACUUAAAAAUAUUACUGCAUUUAUUUUUUAUGAUAACUAUAACACAGAUUCAAGUUU